rnacentral:rRNA from 1 species
GACGAACGCUGGCGGCGUGCCUAAUACAUGCACGUAGGACGCAGUUGCGAAUGGGUGAGUAACGCGUAGGUAACUACCUAUUAGAGGGGGAUAACUAUUGGAAACGAUAGCCAAUACCGCAUACUAGUAGAUGGACCUGCGUUGUAUUCGCUAGUAGGUAGGGUAAUGGCCUACCUAGGCAACGAUACAUAGCCGUCCUGAGAGGGUGAGCUGCCACACUGAGAACGAGACACGGCCCAGACGCCUACGGGGGGCAGCAGUAGGUAGUCUUCGGCAAUGGGUGGAAACCUGACCGAGCAACGCCGCGGGAGUGAAGAAGGUGUUCGGAUCGUAAAGCUCUGUUGUUAAGGAAGCGGUACUUAACCAGAAAGGAACGGCUAACUACGUGCCAGCAGCCGCGGUAAUUC